rnacentral:rRNA from 1 species
UACGUAGGGCGCAAGCGUUGUCCGGAAUUAUUGGGCGUAAAGAGCUCGUAGGCGGUUCGUCGCGUCUGCUGUGAAAACCCGGAGCUCAACUCCGGGCCUGAAGUCGAUACGGGCGGACUUGAGUGUUGCAGGGGAGACUGGAAUUCCUGGUGUAGCGGUGAAAUGCGCAGAUAUCAGGAGGAACACCGGUGGCGAAGGCGGGUCUCUGGGCAACUACUGACGCUGAGGAGCGAAAGCGUGGGGAGCGAACAGG